AAGCGCUUGCAAUCAGACUUGCACUUGGUGUUCAUCAGGGUCUCGUACCCUGUGUACUUCAUCAAGUUCAGGCCAGCAUCAGUUUGAGUGGUUAGAUAAAAGCUUUAGGAAUGUGGCUCUUCGGAGUGUUAUAGCCUAUUGCAUAAUACCCUUAUGGGGACCGAGGUACGCGCAUUGCAAGGAUGCUGGCGUAAUGGU
rnacentral:rRNA from 1 species